GGGCUCGCUGGGCGGUAUCCCACCCCUCUGUGAGGUUGUUGGGUGGGGAGGGCGGUGGGAAAAGUUUAGGAUUGACGGGACAUCUGAGGGAAAAGGGCGGUUUGAGGGCUCCGAGGACCCACGUAGAGCCCUUCUGAGAGACCAAAGAUAUAAAGAGGAGAUCUGGGCAGACCUUGAGAGCUAGAUACAGCUCUUAUCCCCAUUGCUCCCUGGAACGUAUUGUGUCCCUCUCAGAGACGUUUCCAUCCAUCCUCAGAGGCGGACAAAGCCAUUUUCUGAUUUAAAAGAAGACAAAUUUGGGGACAGAACUGCAGCCCAGCUGAUGACGUAUAGCCAGGACUUGGGCAAGAAAAGCCAGAGGGAGAAAGUUAGAAAGAGCUCUAACGUGGAGUUCCCAUUUUCAUUCAUUCUUUGGGGUAAGAGCAGCUUUCUCCAAAAAGGCACAUCCAUCCAAAGAGGCACUCAGGCACUGCUAGUCAGCAACUUUAUCCAGGAUGGCUCUGGAUAUAAGGAAAAGACAAAACAGAGAGAACAAUGACCGAAACCCUAAAAGACACGCUGGAAAAGUAUUGCUCAGAGCAGCAAGUACAUCAGUUUGGAUGUGGAGCACUGAUUUCGUUUUAUCACCCUGCUUAUUAGCUACACAGGAUUUGCUCUUAAAGAAAAAACAAAAUCAAAAUGAGCCUAGAGGAACCGUGAAAGAUAAGAGGAAGGAUGUUUUCUCAAGUUAUUUAUCAUCAUGAAAUGCUUGUAGUUCCAGAUCUCAGAUUCCCGAAGCUCUCAUCUUACUGCAACAGCAGACAUGAACUCGAGGAAUCACCACCCACCCAUGGCUCAGCUGGAGGAGGCUCCAGGGUGGGAUGGAUGAGAUCAGUUGUUGCUUACCCACACGCAACCAGGAUUCCAAGACCAGAUUGCUCUGAGUGUCCACUUCAAACGAAUGGAGAAGUCCCCAGAAUGAUCUCCAUGGACUUGGACUUGCACCUCUCCCUGAAAGGCUCUACCAGUGGAACUGAAUGAUGGCUGAAGGUGAUCCCAUGUUUCUAGAAGAGAACUGAUGAUGCUUUUGCAUAGAAACCCAUUUUUCCAGCCAUUUGUGCCUGCCCUGCCUGAUGUUUUGCCAGCUGGAUCAUGUGGCAGUGGGCAGCAUCCUCGACCCAUUGGGACAAGCAAAAUCCAGACCCAUCCGUGUGCAUGAACGGGUUUGCCAUGUCCACCCUUUCUCCUGCAGCUUCAGAGCACUGAGCAUUGUGUCCAUCUCUCAACAAGUGUUGAGUCCCACGUAAGGACUUGGCCCCGAUGCAACGAUCGUUGUCAGCUGCAAUUAACAGAGGUCAUCUCAUCUGUGCUGAGGCUGGUCAGCCAAGCAGAGCGCUGUGACAAGCUUUAAUUAGCUCCGCAAUGAUUUCCUGCCUGGGGAGAGUUGUUUGGUGGCUUAGUCGAUGUGUGUAACAUAAGUGGCUGGGUUGUCAUCGUGUGCUCGAGGGCAGCUCCCAAGUGCUCCCUGCUAACAAGAGCAGGAAGGGAUCUGUCUGAAACAAAUUAAGAUGGGGUUUUGGAAUUGCUUUCCUUCAAACUCAUGAUUCUGUGCUGUUCCCUUCCACAGUUGUGUUUGCUUUCACUUUCACAGUGCUUUUCUGAUGUAUGAACAGUCACAGCUUUGCACGCCCUAUUUCUGCCCAUUUCUCUCUCACACCCACACGGUCUUCAGUCUUUCCCUGUUUCAUUGCCCACAGAAGUCCUCAGUUCGUCUCCCUCACACAUUUGAACUCUUUCUGUGUCCCUCAGGAUGAAGUCUGCUAGCAGAAGCGCUCGCAGGCAAGUGAGUUAAUGAGAAAUGAACUCCCCUUUAGUUAAUACCCCUUGUGCAGGAGUGUGAUAGGGAGGCAGGCUGGGGUGACUAGCUGGGUACGGUGAUAGGUGGGCACAGAUGGCGGUGCAUGGAGAGGCACAGGACCAUGAGGCAAACCCAUAAAACACAUUCUGCUAUCGGUUGCAAUUGUGCUAGCAGUCAAUGAAAUAACUUUGGACAACGUCCCAGGUACAGCAAAGCCAUUCUUUAGGGUAAGUCCAACCCAAAUCCGGAAGGAAACUAGACAAUGUGAAUGAGCCAGUUCUAGGCUUACAGUUCAAUGGGCAGUUCUGGGUUGAAGCGGAGUUUUGCCCAGAAAUAACCCAAAAUGUGGUCCUGAGUAUAAUGAGGUGCUGUCAAGAAGAAAUGGAUGGAGGCAUCUGAGACUGGAAUAUGCAGGAGCAGAGGUGGAGAUCAGUUUGAGAGUGCUAGGUGUGAGAGGACUGUAAGAAAGGAGGUAGGAUUGUGGAGGCCACUGGAAUGGGAUUCAGCCUGAGACAUGGACACAGAAAUGGUCUUUAAUGACCACAAAGCAAUUCACAGCAUCCUAAAGCAGUCAUGUACAGCAGAUACAAUCACAGAAUCAUAGCUUAUCAUGAGUUGGAAGGAACCCCCAAGGAUCAUCGAGGCCAACCCCUGGCCCCACACAGCACCACCCAAACCCAAACUCGAUGGGAUGGAGUGACUCCCUGCCCACAUGGCAUGGAGAACCCAGGAGCCUUGAGCCUCUUAUUCUUGCUCCAAACCCUGCACCAAGCUCCUGCACUUCAGUUAAUCACACAGUUGUUGCCUCCCCUUUCUUCUCUGGACUCAGGAGAAGUCAUAUGUUGGACAAAGCUUUGGGCACAGUCUUUCUGGGUCUUCACUGAGCAGUUUAGCACUUUGGCAUCUAACAGCAGGGAUCUUCCCCGAGGAAGACCUCUGAACUUUGGUUGGCACGAAUGAAAGGGGAAAGCCAGCACACUCGCGUUCCCACUGGGCCGGAUCCUUGCCUCCAUCCGAUCUGCAGAACGGCAGCUCCUUAUCUCAUCAAACCCCAAUCUCCUUCGAAAGUAAAUAUGGCUUAGAUUUGUUUAACCUUUCCUUUCCAGUUCUUAACUGACUUCCUCCAGGCUUUAUUUAGAGCCACCAGUGGUUCCCACUGGGAUGUUGCCAGGCAGGGAAUUACUUUGUUUAGUUGGGGAUGUGAGGGGUCAAUGUGGCUGUCACCAAUUCAGACAAAGCUCAGUUCUUGGCCUGGCUGCUCGUAACAUCUGCCUGUAAUGGACUGGACUGGAUUUUUCUUUAGAAAUUCUGUGAGGCAAAAACAGGGCAACCUGGGGGAAAAUAAAUGGCAGAAGAGCAAGGAUCUAUCUGUUCUCAUACACCUUUAACAGCAGACUUUCUCAUAUCUCAAGGGUAUCUGGCACUCCAGUUUGUAAGUGACCCUGCCCUAUAUAUUUCUGUAGCAGGUAUUACUUCCAUCAGAGACUCAGCCUGCUGCCUGACUGCUAUAACUCACUUGUCUGGAUAAUAUUUUAAUGAAGAGAGGUGACAGAUGAUGCUGAAGUCUGUCUCCUUUGUCAGGUGAUCUGCCAAAGAACAAAACUUUGGUCUGACAAACUGUCAAAUGGCUCUCCUGCCAGAGAAUUGCAGUCCUGAUCAUUAAAACACAUGGCUGACAGCAUCUGCCCAUCACAUCAGUUUCAGAAGGAGACAAUCAUGCAGUGAGACUCUGCACAGCUUCGCUUUAGUUCCUAAUGACCUCACAUAUUUGCUGGCUAUCAACAAAACGAGAAAUAAGGGAGAAGAGAGAUGGGCUUGGUAGAUAUCUUUAUUUCCAUUCUCAUCCUUUCCAUUUGCCUUUGACCCACAAGGGAAAACCAGAUAGAGCAACAAAAGGUCUGAAAAUGAAGUGGAAUCAGAAGGAAAAUUGGAACAAUAUCCCCUUACACUUGCUUGGGAAGUAUGAGUGCUAGGAGCAGAGAUGGAAAACGUUGCAUCUCCGAACAGCCCGCAGUGGGACUUGUUUCACUUCUCCCUAUGCCCAGAGGUAAGCUGCUCACAGUGGCCUCUCUUAAUAGCCAGAAGAGGGAAAGAAGCACUGCUGCAAUGUGAUUCGUUCUGCCUCUUUCACAUCUUCACUCCUGGGUGAGUUGAGCUAUGCGCAGAAGGUCCGUUCCCCUCUGUUCAGUCUGGGCUGCUGGUUUGAAUGGAGAUGUCAGUAAGAGAUAAAAAACAGCACUAUGUUCUGCCCCUACAUUUUGCCCUGAGCAGUCCUAUCUCUGGUUUUGACUCAAUGUGCUCAGCUCUUUCACAGUUUAGAGACCCUCAGUAGUCCCAGAGCGGUGUCCUCCCAGACAAAUCAGGGUUUUGUAGUUAUGCAAGUGUCACUGAGGCCCAUUGGCUUCUGACAAUAGUUCAGGAUGGAAAAAAUCUCAGAGCCCAAGCUCAGUGCGGAGUGAGCAAUCAAAACCCAUCCAACCUAACCUAUCCAAAGAGGAAAAGCCAAGGAAAGGCAGACAUGAGAACGAUCACUUAGGAGGUAGGAAAUGAGUGUACAUAACAAAUGCCCCACUCCCUGGUAAGCUAUUAACGGUGCCAUUCUUCUGCAACACCACCCUUUGCUUGGGUAGCACUAAGCAAUCCUUCAUAGUUUCCCUCCUCUGGCCCAAGGAGAAUAAUGCAGCCUCCAAGGUCAAUGUAAUUACUUGCUCCUUCUCAUUAAAGAAAUUGCCAAAGUACCCAUUUAAAGUCACUAGUCUCCCCACCCCUUUCAUUGCAAUGAUUUAUGAGGAGGUUAUUUAUUCCCUCCUCUUUUCUCUUGAACACCUUUCUAAUUAGAAGCGGCACAUUGCAGUCCCUCAUUCUCCAGGGUGAAAUCCUAUUUACUGCCAAAGGGAAAGUAUGGCGAGCUGGCCAAUAUAAUGGGGAGCUAUUUGUUUUGAAGGAAUAAAAUCCAUUUUAUGGCUGGUGUCAGAGAAACAGCUCCAUCCACAAAGCCUCUGCUUGCAGAACGUGGGGCAGAGCAAAGAAACAGCCACGUAGUGAAGGUCUUAACAGACACUGGUUCAACUCUUGGCCACGUAGGUGAGGGGAUGACAAGAGUGAGCUACUGAAAGUCUUGGUUUCCCACUCAUUAAGAAGGCAAUAAUUCUAGCCCGUUAAUAUUGCUGGGAGUGGAGCGACUGUUUUCCUGGUUGUGAGGCUGCAUGUCUCCCUAGCAUCACAAAGACAGCAAUCACACUUGGACUCUGUCUGCUUCUGCCCAUCAAAACACAAAAUUUUUCCAGGCUAUGGCGAACACGCUGCAUUUGAAAUGGAAUUUGAAAAUGUCAGCCCUGCGUGACGAUGCUGGGAGCUGCCAGAAAUGACAAUGCCUUUUUUUGUUGCAGAUGUUUGGAAACUGCAACUAACGCCGUGAUGGUGCAAUUAACUGUGAUUUUUUUCUACUGGUCGUAAUGCUUUUCCUAAGGUCAUGACUAUACGCCGUCCCAGAACAGCUGCCAGCACUCAGCACACUUUGUAGCCAUGUUAUUAAUUAAAAUCUAACACAGUGUGCACCUUGCUAUUGCAUGCCAGCCCUCUGCUAACCAAGCCACACAACCACUUGGAUCCCUUUGUAGGUAUUCCCAGGAAAAUCUUAUGGGGAGAGGGAUAAAGAAGCAUCUUCUGGGUCCCGUGGAUCUUGCCUGGCACUGCAGUCGUGGUGUAACCAUCUGAAGAGCUGCACAUGCAGCUGAUCAGCUUAAUUUGCAAAGCAAUUUCCAAGCUGUUAGCCGUGUGUGCAGGUGAUGGAAGAAUGAACAGGGAACUUCAUGGUUUAGGGGACGGUGCUGUCCUCGAGUCAUUGCAGGCAUGUGCAGGAUGAAUGAUAGGGAAGAUGUAAUGAAAGAUGUAAUGACUGUAAUAAAAAGGAAGAGGUGCAUGCAAAGUGUCUGGGCAGAAAACUGGGAUAGAAGUGGUUCAUUUCUGGUCUCACGCCAGUUUUGAGCUCCUGUUCCAUGGAUACGAAAGGAGCCAUUUCUGAGAGCUUCCUGACUGUUAUCACAUAGAAGCUCAUGGUGUAAGUGUAGCCGCUAGAGUGAAUUCUUUUAAAUUUAAAAGAGUUAAUUAAAAUUAAAAGAGCUGCGUCUCUCCACUUGGUCUCAGCAGCCUGGCUUAGAAACCCAAGCCCCGCUAUUUCCUCUGAGUGUCUUUUUUUCUCCCUGCAGAUGAAGUCUGCAUUAAUGCACUCAUUGUGCAGAACCUUUCCAUCUCAGGCCCUUAUAAUUACAAGAUCGGACCAACAAAGUGUCUACUGGGAGUGAACAAGCAGGAACUUAUUCCUGAUGCUGCCUUGUGUUGUGGGAGGUGUUCUGGGUACAACAUGACCCUAGAGCCCUUUGCUUUCUGCCUGUUUCCCUAUCAGUAAAAGGAAGAUAAUGACACUAACCUUGGAGAACAUGGGGAGUCAAGCACUUUGCUUUUGUGGACUCUCUGGAUGUGCUGGGCUUCACAGCCUGCUUGAACAAACUUCAGUUGGGUCUUGUCCUGCAUCAGAAACAAAGCACCUAUGGCCAGAAGUAGGGGGUCAUUGACUUUCCAAGGACUUUCUUUCUGCAAACUCAGAAGGACCUUCAGAUGGGAGAUGGAGUCUGUGAUUGUCUCCUGGGUCUCCAUUGCAGCCCAGACCCAUGCUUUGCCGUUUCCUGAUAGAAUCAUUAAGUUGAAACAGACCAUUAAUACCUUCAAGUCCAACCCCAGCCCACCCCCACCAUGUCCACUGACCAUGUCCCUCAGUGGCACAUCUCCAUGGUUCUUGAACACCUCCAGAGAUGGUGACUCCACCACCUCCCUGGGCAGCCUGUGCCAAUGCAUCACUGCUCUUUCUGUGAAGAAGUUUUUUCUAAUAUCCAAUCUGAGCCUUCCCUGGCACAACUUAAGGCCAUUACUUCUUAUUUCAGGGCUGGUUCUCCCAGGUCAGAGGCAUGGAAAUUCCUCCUUACCUUAUCCCAGUUCACUGUGAAGUGGCAAUAACAUCUGGGUUUUUGUUUGGGGAAAUUUAGCUAUUUCUGCAUGCAGAAGGAUGUGUGGUGUAAGGCAGGGGACAUGAAACCCCACGAUGUGUUGACGUUCCCUCCAUCACCACCUAGUAUGUUGGGACAGAGGUUGUCCCCCCUGGACGUGUUUGUGCAGCAUGAUAAACACCCUGGAGGAUCAGCCAUGGUCCUCAAGCUUUGGACUCAGCUGAGGUCAGAGUACUUGUCCCCAUUCCAUGUCCUUGCUGGGGUGCGCGCUGUGCCUGCCUGCCCCAGCCUCAUGUGCAGACAGAAAUCAGUCUGGAUUGGAGUUCCCUGGAGCCAUGAGGCAUGUUUGGAUGCACAGGCAUGCUUGUUUGACACCGCCUCAGCUCCGUGCUAAUUAAAUCCAAAGGGUAAUCAUUAUUUCAUUGAGUUUCCUCCAGCGCUGUAAUUCUAUCUCAGUUGUGGCUGAAAGCUCUGAAUGAAGAGGCAGGUACAGGGCCAGUGCCUUAGGCUGAUUUUUUUUCUCUGUCCUUUUCUCCUUUUCUUUUCUCCUUUUCUUUUCUUCUUUAUCCAUUUCUCUUCUCC